rnacentral:rRNA from 1 species
UCCAGAGGGUGCGCGCGUUAAUCGGAAUUACUGGGCGUAAAGCGCACGUAGGUGGCGACGUAAGUCGGGUGUGAAAGCCCCGGGCUCAACCUGGGAAUUGCAUUCGAGACUGCAUUGCUGGAGUACGGAAGAGGAGGGCGGAAUUCCCGGUGUAGCGGUGAAAUGCGUAGAUAUCGGGAGGAACAUCAGUGGCGAAGGCGGCCCUCUGGUCCAGUACUGACACUCAAGUGCGAAAGCGUGGGGAGCACACAGG